UACAGAGGGUGCAAGCGUUAAUCGGAAUUACUGGGCGUAAAGCGUGCGCAGUCGGUUAUUUAAGUCGGAUGUGAAAUCCCCGGGCUCAACCUGGGAACUGCAUCUGUGACUGCAUAGCUAGAGUACGGUAGAGGGGGAUGGAAUUCCGCGUGUAGCAGUGAAAUGCGUAGAUAUGCGGAGGAACACCGAUGGCGAAGGCAAUCCCCUGGACCUGUACUGACGCUCAUGCACGAAAGCGUGGGGAGCAAACAGG
rnacentral:rRNA from 1 species